rnacentral:lncRNA from 13 species
GUUUCAUGUAAGGUCAUGAAUAGAAACCACAUUUUCACAUUUAUGAAAUUAGACAUUGAUAGUGGUUAUAUAUAUCAGUAGUGGAAUACCAACACCGCUACCAUCAACCAGCAAUCUUGAAUAGAGAAUCUUCUAAUAACCCUUUGCAGUCAUUUUUGCAGAAUUUCAGUGCAAUUGGUGCCAAUCCUCAUCUGUCUAUGGAAAGCAGAUCUCACUAAAAAUUAGCUUUUGGAAAGAUCCAAGCUUGGUUGAUAGGGUACUGCCAGGCUUCCACAUGGCUUUGGAUAUUGUGCUGUGCAAAGAAACCUGGACAGUACUAAAUCAACAUAGGCUGUUUGUAAACCACAUGGAUUAAUCAGCCACAGAAUAGGGAGUUAUUAUGAUGGUGUGGUUUUGCCAUUUGCAGAUUAAUUAAUUGUUAUUUGACCCUACUUCUCUUUGUCAUUAAGCAUACAUUUUUUUAAACUCUGACAUGUAAAAAACCGUAAGGUUCUCAUCAGAAGCAACUGUAACUGACACAAAAAUAGGUUAAAUGGCAAAUAACAGAGAUCUCAUUGAUAUUCACUUGUUAGAGAGCAUAGACAAAUUAUAUGAAUUUCAUUAUAUGCAAAUAUAAUGUUAUAUUGAAGCAAUAAAUGGAGUUCAUAAUCCCUGAAUGGAUUACUCCCUCCUGGAAAUCUGUGACUCAACAAAAGGACUUGGGACUUAGCCAGUCUAAUAUAAAUUCCUGGUCUGAAACAGUGGUAGAGAUGUGGUCCUUAGAGAAGGAACCCAGAGCAGAAAUAGAGAACUGUCUUUGUGUUCUGUUGGUUCACAGAAGAGCCUUGAGAAUGGCCAGAGGAACAGAAGACACCCCUUAUGGUCUGGGUAAUCUUAAUGGUCAUGGGCUAUCUUCAUGAUAGGAUGACUUCAGCUGAGCAUGGAAUUCCAAGUGAGAGUUCAUCAUUCUUUUCUCUACUAGGAAAAUAAUAGGUUUCUUAUGAUUUUGUAUCCUGUUCCCAUUAUCUGUAUUUCUCUCCUCUAAGUUUUUAAGUUCAUUUGUAAUUCUAAGUUCAGCUGUAAUUCAGCAAUAAUGUCUUCAAAUUAUUUUAUCUGGUAAGUAUUACUGUGCAUUUCUCAGCAGAAGUUUUAUCUGCCAUUAUGUUACCCAUUCACCUGCCUAUGUAGGAUCCCUUUAAGCAUCUCAGUCUUUUCCAGCUUUUUGUGAAAUUAAAUGUUUUAUGUUGGGUAUCUAUUUUCUGAUCUUCCUUAGCCCUUUAAUUAAUAGCUAGCCAAUAAAUAAUAUCAAAUAACACAGUUGUUAAUGUUUCAGUUCUUACUUUCCAGGCAGACUGGAAUUUUUGCCACUCUUUUUAAUCUUUAUAAGAA